GUUGAACGCUGGCGGCGUGCUUAAUACAUGCAAGUCGAGCGAAGCGGGGACGGGUGAGUAACACGUGGAUAACCUCCUAUAAGACUGGGAUAACUUCGGGAAACCGGAGCUAAACCGGAUACUUAUCGAUGGAUACGCGCUGCAUUAGCUAGUUGGUAAGGUAACGGCUUACCAAGGCAACGAUGAAUAGCCGACCUGAGAGGAUGAUCAGCCUCACUGGAGCUGAGCCACGGUCCAGACUCCUACGGGAGGCAGCAGUGGGGAAUCUGCCGCAAUGGGCGAGAGCCUGACAGAGCAACGCCGCGUGAAUGAUGAAGGUCUUCGGAUCGUAAAACACUGUUAUUAGGGAAGAGGUACCUAAGCAGAAAGCCACGGCUAACUACGUGCCAGCAGCCGAGGUAAUAC
rnacentral:rRNA from 1 species